rnacentral:rRNA from 1 species
CUUCGGCAGGCCUAACACAUGCAAGUCGAACGGAUCCUUCGGGAUUAGUGGCAGACGGGUGAGUAACGCGUGGGAAGCUACCUUGUGGUAGGGAACAACAGUUGGAAACGACUGCUAAUACCCUAUGAGCCCUAUGGGGGAAAGAUUUAUCGCCAUGAGAUGUGCCCGCGUUAGAUUAGCUAGUUGGUAAGGUAAUGGCUUACCAAGGCGACGAUCUAUAGCUGGUCUGAGAGGAUGAUCAGCCACACUGGGACUGAGACACGGCCCAGACUCCUACGGGAGGCAGCAGUGGGGAAUAUUGGACAAUGGGGGCAACCCUGAUCCAGCCAUGCCGCGUGAGUGAUGACGGCCUUAGGGUUGUAAAGCUCUUUCACAGUGAAGAUAAUGACAUUAACUGCAGAAGAACCCCGGCUAACUUCGUGCCAGCAGCCGCGGUAAUACCAAGGGGGCUAGCCGUUGUUCGGAAUCACUGGGCGUAAAGCGUACGUAGGCGGACUGAUCAAUCAAGGGUGAAAUCCCGGGGCUCAACCCCGAACUUGCCUUUUAUACUGUCAGUCUUUAGAUCGAAAAAAGUGAAUGGAACUCCCAGUGUAAAAGGGAAAAUCUAAAUAUUCUGAAGAACACCAAUGGCGAAAGGCGGUUACUUGGUUCAUACUUACCCUUAGGACCAAAAGCGUGGGGACCAACAAGAUUAAAUCCCUUGUAAUCCCCCCUAACCAAUAAUCUUUUGUCAGUU